rnacentral:lncRNA from 10 species
GGGUGCGGGAUGGAGCGGAGAGAGGAGGCCCCGCGCGCCGUCGGCCGCCUCAUUUCAGACUCCCCUGCGACCCCCCCCCCGCCGCCAGCCGAAGCCCGGGCCGCCCAGCCCCUCCUGCCGCUGCGGGACGCCGAAGGCUCCAGAGCUUGAGAGAAAGUGCGAACCCGGUCCCUGAGCAGGUCUGAUUCCCAUGGCCCCUUCGCCAUCUGCUCUGCACCGAAAUUGGAUUCUCCUACGCAGAGGAGAAGGUGGAGAAGAUUCUCCGUCUUCCGGAGGGUAGCUACUGCCGGUAGCUCCGAUUUCCUUCGGAUCCCCUUUCAAGGGCAAGCAGAAGGAAAUCAGUUUCUCCAAAGAAAGUGGCCCGGCUGAGUAAGUGGGAACAAGGUGGUUGGACUGAGGCACGGGAUCCUUUAGCUCCGUUGCUCUUCUAAUCCCGUGGCCCUGGGCACCGCCACUUCCUCCUCUGAACUGCUGGAAUAAUCACUUCUGACUAGCAGAGUUACUGGGAGCCGCUGUUUGUCAGUGUUCACAUUCUGACUUUAGCAGGAGAUGGAGCGAGCGAAGGAGUGAAGCCCUUGUUUGUGAACAGUGAUUGUUUCCCGGAUGACAGCCAGAUGCCGGGCAGGGCCACGCAGAUCUUAGCUGGAGCCUACAGGUACAAGUGAGAGCCACCCCCUUUGACGUAACUGGACUGGCAUUUACAGAACUCAUGUACAGCCCACUCUCAGGAACACCAGCCAGGAACCGUGACAUGGAGGAGAGGAAUUGGGAGGAACCGAGGGGUCAUCAAAGGCUGGUAGGGCUUAGGUGCUCUAGCAAACAUCCUAGUCUGUGGGGUUCCAGAGCUCUGGUGCUACAGCUCCCAACCCUUUGAUUGGCCCAGGAACUGGCUGUUGAGUGGGCAUCCGUGUUCAUAGCUCUGCCCCUUGCAACCCUAAAGCAGAUAAAAUGCAGGAGGCAGAAAUUGCUGGCAGACAGCAUCCAAUUAAUCCCCACUACCCAAUUCAGUUUCUUCCCCUGACCUGACACGUCCCUGCCCAGCUGUGCCUCCCACUGUUCACCUUUUGAGGCACAAAACGGGCUGUUUAUGCUGCUGCUGCAUUUAGCUCAAAACAGGGCUUCAGAGUCAAGGUUCUGGACUCAGGCACCCGGAUUAAAUCCUGCCCUAUGAAUUCCUAGCCAGGUGACCUCAGGCCUACAUAACCUUUCUGUACCUCAACUUCCUCAUCCAGAAAACAGGGAUGAUGCUGUCUACCUCAUUGGAUGGUUGUGCAGGAUCAAAGAUUCAGUCAUUCAGCAAACCUAUACCGAGUACCUACUGUACACUCAUGAGUGCUAGGCAGCCAGCCUUCCAGGUGCUCAGGUACAUCUGUGAACACAACUGGCUAUUGGAGGAAGCAAAAUCAGUAACAUGACCUGCUCUCUUUGAUCUGUGCUACAGAAAAAAAGGAAAGUGGAGAGGCAUCAGGAAGUCAGGAGUGCUGGGGAGGGGCUGGUAACAGUCAUGGUAUUAAAGAGGAGGGCAGGCAGGCCUUACUGUGAAGGUGGUAUUUGAGAUGAAGUAGUUGGUCAGAGUCCCUGUUUGACACAUGGAGACCACCUUGACAGCAAAGGCCCUAAGGGGGAGCGGUGCGAAGCAAGGUGGGCUGGUGAGUGAGAGGAGAGGGAUGGCAUAGAGCUGGGUGGGGGCACAGGAGCCCGUGGGGAAGGUGUUCGCCUCUGAAUGAAGUGGGGUUGUAUCAGAUACCACGGGUGAAGCAUCGGGAAGAGGAUCCUGCCUGUAAACCCUGCUCAAGGACUGCACCAUCAUCAUGCCCAGUGUGUGCGUGUAUUAGGUUGGGUUUCAGCCGAGCAAGUCUGAGGCCCCUUUCCCGCGCCCUCUGGUGGAAAGUGUUCGCUUUUCUGUCCACCCAUGUGAAGGAUUCACCCCGACCCUCCUCAGGUGGCCUUUACUUUGCAGGAGCAAAGCAAGUUGGAUGAGGAGAUACAUGUAUGUGGCACACAGCUUUCUUCACUUAGCAACACGUCAGAUGCAGCGUAGAUGUGCGGAUGAAACCACCAUUGCAAAAUUAUCACUGAGACAGUCAGAGAAACCUGACAUGGCUGACUCCAUGUUGCUUUUAGCCUCACAGGCUGGCUCUCUUAGCUCAUUCCUAAGCAUGGGCCUGAAACUGCCAUUGCAAAAUCGUAACUGAGACAGCAAAAGAGACUUGACCUAACCAACUCCAUCUUGCUUCUAACCUCCAAGCUGUCCUUGUUCAUUCCUGGGUGUAGGCUGAACUAACUUUGGGAGGAACUUAAUUUAUAGUUUAAAACAAAGACGAUAAGACGAUAACAGCCCUUUCUCAAAACAAACAUCCUUCCUGACUGGGGACUAGACUGCCUUUGUAGGAUUAACAAAUUAGCCACAAGAUCAGAAAUUAUAGUUUAGGAGUCAUGCAGCUGGAGGCUCUAAGAUUGUGACCCUCCCUAAACCGCUCAGUGCUUGAGAUGUUUUACAGACCCUGCACUUAAUGGAUCAGCUGGCACCACCCAGAUGGAUAAACUGGCUCAUGUGAUCUUGUGGCCCCCACCCAGGAACUGACUCAGUGCAAGAA